CCUACGGGGGACAGCAGUGAGGAAUAUUGGUCAAUGGGCGGGAGCCUGAACCAGCCAAGUCGCGUGAGGGAUGACGGUCCAGUGUAUUGUAAACCUCUUUUGUCAGGGAACAAAGUCCGGCACUUGUCCCCUUUUGAGGGUACCCGAAGAAAAAGCAUCGGCUAACUCCGUGCCAGCAGCCGCGGUAAUACGGAGGAUGCGAGCGUUAUCCGGAUUUAUUGGGUUUAAAGGGUGCGCAGGCGGCCUGUUAAGUCAGUGGUAAAAGGCCGGGGCUCAACCCCGGCGAGCCGUUGAAACUGGCGGGCUGGAGUGGGAGAGAAGUACGCGGAAUGCGCGGUGUAGCGGUGAAAUGCUUAGAUAUCGCGCAGAACCCCGAUUGCGAAGGCAGUUCACUGGACUGCAACUGACACUGAGGCUCGAAAGUGUGGGUAUCAAACAGGAUUAGAUACCCCGGUAGUC
rnacentral:rRNA from 1 species